rnacentral:rRNA from 1 species
AUGAAGCUGGAAUCGCUAGUAAUCGCGAAUCAGAAUGUCGCGGUGAAUACGUUCCCGGGUCUUGUACACACCGCCCGUCACACCAUGGGAGUCAGUAACGCCCGAAGUCAGUGACCUAACCUAGUAGGAGGGAGCUGCCGAAGGUGGGACCGAUAACUGGGGUGAAGUCGUAACAAGGUACC